AUUGAACGCUGGCGGAAUGCUUUACACAUGCAAGUCGAACGGCAGCACGGACUUCGGUCUGGUGGCGAGUGGCGAACGGGUGAGUAAUGUAUCGGAACGUGCCCAGUCGCGGGGGAUAACGUAGUGAAAAUUACGCUAAUACCGCAUACGAUCUAUGGAUGAAAGCGGGGGAUCGCAAGCCCUCGCGCGAUUGGAGCGGCCGAUAUGAGAUUAGGUAGUUGGUGGGGUAAAGGCCCACCAAGCCAACGAUCUGUAGCUGGUCUGAGAGGACGACCAGCCACACUGGAACUGAGACACGGUCCAGACUCCUACGGGAGGCAGCAGUGGGGAAUUUUGGACAAUGGGCGAAAGCCUGAUCCAGCCAUUCCGCGUGCAGGAUGAAGGCCCUCGGGUUGUAAUCUGCUUUUGUACAGAACGAAAAGGUUUCUACUAAUACUAGGAGCUCAUGACGGUACUGUAAGAAUAAGCACCGGCUAACUACGUGCCAGCCGCCGCCGUAA
rnacentral:rRNA from 1 species